CUAUGAUAAACAGAUGGCAUCAUUUUUCUCAAGACUUUUUAAGGUAUAUUGACAAAUUUCUGAUUUGAACAAGCUCUUCACUCCUCUCGACACAGCAACCUGCAGUGUUUGACUGCGACUCUACGUCUGCUAUGAUAAGGAGCUUCACAAAUUCUAAAAGCAAUCACUUUGAAACAGAUAGCAUCACUUUUCUCAAGACUUUUUACGGUAUAUCGAAAAAUUUCUGAUUUGAACAAGUUCUUCACUCCUCUCGACACAGCAGAAGCAAAGACAUUACGUAGUUGGUUGUGUCGUCUUUAAUCUUUCGAAAUUUGUUAAGUCAUCUAUCUAUUUAUCGGAUUCCUAACACAGAUCAUGACAUGAAAACGUUUUACUAGGUAUGUCUUUAGAUAUUGCGCCUACUUGGAGUGAAAAGCUCAUUUCUUCACGUGAUAGUACACGUGAUUUUUUUCUGGUCUAUAAUUGUUCAACUUGUUGUAAGAUAGACUAUUUAAA